AGAGAGAGAGAGAGAGAGAGACGACAGAAGAGAAGGAAGAGGAGGCCAGAGACUCUGGUCUGUUCUUUACGAAAUUAUUCAAGGUAACAAGCCAGUCAAUUGGGGAGGUUCCGAAAUCGUAAGUUUGGCAUACCUCGGUCGAUACAAAAGUGAGUGUUUUUGAUAUGGUUUUUCUCCAUAUAAUACUGUUGUGGUAGUGGGUGUAUAUCUUGCUAAUUGUAGCUAGCUUUUGAUAUGGUUAUCCUUACUGAGAUAUUGCUGUAAUGGUGAGUGUAUAUCAUGCUACUGUUGUUUAGCUUUGAUAUGCUGUGAAUGUGUGCGUGUGAGGCACACCAUGUCGUAAGCCAUAUUGUUCAAUGGACGAUGGUUGGGAGCAUGGUGUGUGGGACACGAGAUUUGGUUGUGCUAUGCGUAUUUGAUGAAAAUACAUGCUUAUGGGUGCUGAUUGAACCGCCGAAAGUUAAUGUGUGAGGCAUACUAUGUCGUAUGCCAUGCCGGCUAAUUGUUGGUGGAUGGGAGCAUGGUAUGUGGGACACCUUAUCUUGGGUUCAUGGGAUAUGGCAGACGUGUCACUGCAUGUGAUGUGAUUACAGUCAUAUUGUUGUGCAUUGAUUAUUAUUGCUCAGUUGGGUGGAUAUGUUGGUUAUAACUGUUAUAUACAUUCUAGUAUUUCAGUUACAUUGGUGAUGUGUAUUCAUGUUGAUAUUCCUUCGGGUAUUGUGGUAUUAUGUUGAGCAUUUCUAUAUCUCACACAUUCUGGCUUUCCUUUUUGGUUUGCCAGGUAGCAGGUUGCUUAGAGUUGGUCCACUACCGGUUGUCGUGUUGAUGCGUUUUGCUAGCGUCAGGUGGGAUUUUGGUUACAUUGUUGUGGAGUGCCUUGGUUGGUGCAGAACUUAAUUUGUAAGGAGUUGUAACUAAGGGUAGUUAAAGGUUUUAAAUUGUAUAGGUCGUAAUUAAGUUUGGUCGAUGGCUAGUGUUUUAUUUGAGGUUAGCCUUGGACGUUGUGGAUAGUCGAGUUUGUUGUAGGUGGUUGAUGAAGAAGUUGGUUUAUUCAAGUUGUAAGUAAGUCGUCGGUGGAUGUGUUGAAGUAUAGAAUUUUUAAAGUACUAUAAUACAGAUGUUGUUUCUUGGUUGUGCGA